GACAGAGGGUGCUAGCGUUGUUCGGAAUUACUGGGCGUAAAGGGCGCGUAGGCGGCCCGUUUAGUCGGGUGUGAAAUCCCGGGGCUCAACCCCGGAACUGCAUUCGAUACUGGCGGGCUUGAGACCGGAAGAGGUGGGUGGAAUACCCAGUGUAGAGGUGAAAUUCGUAGAUAUUGGGUGGAACACCGGUGGCGAAGGCGGCUCACUGGUCCGGUUCUGACGCUGAGGCGCGAAAGCGUGGGGAGCAAAC
rnacentral:rRNA from 2 species